UAGGGAAUCUUCGGCAAUGGGGGGAACCCUGACCGAGCAACGCCGCGUGAGUGAAGAAGGUUUUCGGAUCGUAAAGCUCUGUUGUUAAGGAAGAACGAGUGUGAGAAUGGAAAGUUCAUGCUGUGACGGUACUUAACCAGAAAGGGACGGCUAACUACGUGCCAGCAGCCGCGGUAAUACGUAGGUCCCGAGCGUUGUCCGGAUUUAUUGGGCGUAAAGCGAGCGCAGGCGGUUAGAAAAGUCUGAAGUGAAAGGCAGUGGCUCAACCAUUGUAGGCUUUGGAAACUGUUGAACUUGAGUGCAGAAGGGGAGAGUGGAAUUCCAUGUGUAGCGGUGAAAUGCGUAGAUAUAUGGAGGAACACCGGUGGCGAAAGCGGCUCUCUGGUCUGAAACUGACGCUGAGGCUCGAAAGCGUGGGGAGCGAACAGG
rnacentral:rRNA from 1 species